UACGUAGGGUGCGAGCGUUGUCCGGAAUUAUUGGGCGUAAAGGGCUCGUAGGCGGUCUGUCACGUCGGGAGUGAAAACUCAGGGCUUAACCCUGAGCCUGCUUCCGAUACGGGCAGACUAGAGGUAUGCAGGGGAGAACGGAAUUCCUGGUGUAGCGGUGAAAUGCGCAGAUAUCAGGAGGAACACCGGUGGCGAAGGCGGUUCUCUGGGCAUUACCUGACGCUGAGGAGCGAAAGCGUGGGGAGCGAACAGG
rnacentral:rRNA from 1 species